UAUCUUUGAAUACCCACUGCAAAAAUAUAAAGCUUUUUUAUUAUUAUUAUUAUUCUGCUUCACGGUGGAGGACAGAGAAGUGACUUUUUUGUUGUUGGACUGCAGUUAAAAGCUAGGGCUAGGAUUUGGAGGAUGUGUAGGCAAACGGAAGGAGAGCCGGGGGAAGAAAAACCGAAAUGGAUUCAUUCUCUGUCCUGGAUGGAGGAGGAGAAGAGAAGAGAAGAGAAGGGGAUGUGAAAGCUUCCUUCAACUGCCUGUCCGGUGAAAAGUGAUCAAACCCCCGGGGCUGAAGAGAACUCAAGAGUCCACGCGGACUUUCGCUUUAUCCUGCCAAUCAAACUGCUUACUAGACAACACCCUGAUCUGGCAUGGACAUCCAAGAGGAAGAGGAAAACUCUAAUCCUGAGCCAAGUGUGUGUUUUUGGGGAGUCCCCCUCCCCCCUUCCACACCCCUCCCUAGGAAGAAACAACAACAACAAAAAGUCCAGCUUGGGACUUUGUGAGGCUGCGGUUGCUUCUCGCUUCUCUGCCGAAGACUUGU
rnacentral:lncRNA from 1 species